AGUUAAUUAGCUUAAAAAAGCUUAUGCCUUGAAAUCAUAAAUUAGAAGUUUAACCCUUCUAUUAACUU
rnacentral:tRNA from 1 species